UGGGGAAUAUUGCACAAUGGGCGCAAGCUUGAUGCAGCCAUGCCGCGUGUAUGAAGAAGGCCUUCGGGUUGUAAAGUACUUUCAGCGGGGAGGCAGGCGAUAAGGUUAAUAACCUUGUCGAUUGACGUUACCCGCAGAAGAAGCACCGGCUAACUCCGUGCCAGCAGCCGCGGUAAUACGGAGGGUGCAAGCGUUAAUCGGAAUUACUGGGCGUAAAGCGCACGCAGGCGGUCUGUCAAGUCGGAUGUGAAAUCCCCGGGCUCAACCUGGGAACUGCAUUCGAAACUGGCAGGCUAGAGUCUUGUAGAGGGGGGUAGAAUUCCAGGUGUAGCGGUGAAAUGCGUAGAGAUCUGGAGGAAUGCCGGUGGCGAAGGCGGCCCCCUGGACAAAGACUGACGCUCAGGUGCGAAAGCGUGGGGAGCAAACA
rnacentral:rRNA from 1 species